rnacentral:rRNA from 1 species
CAGUCGCCACGGGAAUACGAAGGGGGCUAGCGUUGCUCGGAAUUACUGGGCGUAAAGGGCGCGUAGGCGGACAGUUCAGUCGGGGGUGAAAGCCCGGGGCUCAACCUCGGAAUUGCCUUCGAUACUGGCUGUCUUGAGUAUGAGAGAGGUGUGUGGAACUCCGAGUGUAGAGGUGAAAUUCGUAGAUAUUCGGAAGAACACCAGUGGCGAAGGCGACACACUGGCUCAUUACUGACGCUGAGGCGCGAAAGCGUGGGGAGCAAACAGGAUUAGAGACCCCGGUAGUCCCUGUCUCUUAUAC